rnacentral:rRNA from 1 species
AUGCAAAUCUGUUCAGAAGCAUAUAUAUUAUGCUUUGCUUUGCUGACAUUCUAUUUUGAACAAUGGUUUGCUACAGUUAUCAUGCGGAUAAGAGAACCAAAAACUACCACAUUGAUAUCUGCUUCAGGAAAAAUGGUUUGCACUGGAGCAAAAAGUGAACAGCAAUGUAAACUCGCAGCUAGAAAGGUCAAAUAUUUGACGAUGUUUUCUUCUCCCAACCUGGCAAGGAGUAAGAAGUCAGUUGGAGUGAGAAGUGAGACAAGUACAAUGAGCUCAAGUGAUUCAUUCACCAAGCUGGUAAACGCAUAA